AAAUCAAUUUUUUCUUAACUUACACAUGCAAGUCUCCGCACACCCGUGAGAACGCCCUCUUACCCACUUAGGAAUUAGGAGCUGAUAUCAGGCACAAUAAUUUGCCCAAAACAUCUAGCCAAGCCACACCCACACGGGCCCUCAGCAGUGAUUAAUAUUAAGACUAAACGUAAGUUUGACUUAGUUAAUGAAAACAGAGCCGGCCAAUCUGGUGCCAGCCGCCGCGGUUACACCAAGUGGCUCAAAUUGAUAUUGCACGGCGUAAAGCGUGAUUAAAAAAUUCCCCCCCCCCAUUGAGAUUAAACUUAAACUAAGCUGUAGUACGCUUGUUUUUAGGAAGCCCAUAUUUCGAAAGAWAUCUCAACACACCAACUUGAAUUCACGAUAACUAGGACACAAACUGGGAUUAGAUACCCCACUAUGCCUAGUCGUAAACUUUAAAUUACACCUACAUCACCCGGGAACUACGAGCAAAGCUUAAAACCCAAAGGACUUGACGGUACCCCACACCCUUCUAGAGGAGCCUGUCCUGUAACCGAUACUCCACGUUCAACCUCACCAUUUUUAGCCUUUCAGUCUAUAUACUUCCGUCGCCAGCUUACCGCGUGAGCGAUCUAGUAAGCUCAAUGUUUAUCCACCAGCACGUCAGGUCAAAGUGUAGCAAAUAAAAUGGAAAGAGAUGGGCUACACUCUCUAGCAUAGAAAACACGAAAAACUAUGUGAAAUCAUAGCUGGAGGCGGAUUUAGCAGUAAAAAGAGAAUAGAAUACCCUUUUUAACCCGGCACUGGGGUGUGUACACACCGCCCGUCACCCUCUUC
rnacentral:ncRNA from 1 species